UAGGGAAUCUUCGGCAAUGGGGGGAACCCUGACCGAGCAACGCCGCGUGAGUGAAGAAGGUUUUCGGAUCGUAAAGCUCUGUUGUUAAGGAAGAACGAGUGUGAGAAUGGAAAGUUCAUGCUGUGACGGUACUUAACCAGAAAGGGACGGCUAACUACGUGCCAGCAGCCGCGGUAAUACGUAGGUCCCGAGCGUUGUCCGGAUUUAUUGGGCGUAAAGCGAGCGCAGGCGGUUAGAAAAGUCUGAAGUGAAAGGCAGUGGCUCAACCAUUGUAGGCUUUGGAAACUGUUUAACUUGAGUGCAGAAGGGGAGAGUGGAAUUCCAUGUGUAGCGAUGAAAUGCGUAGAUAUAUGGAGGAACACCGGUGGCGAAAGCGGCUUUUUGGCCUGCAACUGACACUGAGGCGCGAAAGCGUGGGGAGCAAACAGG
rnacentral:rRNA from 1 species